rnacentral:piRNA from 1 species
UGACUUAUAUUUUGACUAUACGUUUGA